CGUCGAGUAAACUUACAUAAUGGGUCGUUAGCUCAGUUGGUAGAGCAGUUGACUUUUAAUCAAUUGGUCGCAG
rnacentral:tRNA from 1 species